AGACGUCAGUGGGUUGUUUUUGGAACCAGGGCGCAGCAAUAAAGUUGCUAAAAAUCAAUUAUUUUUUAAAAUAAUUUCGUUUUACGUCUUUAAAAAAAAGAGGGGCUGAUGGAAACAGGGCAGUGCAAUCCGCGCAUAUGCAUUUGGCAGGAGAGGCCAACCAAUGAUAUCGUGGUCUCGGGGUUCCUCCGCGUCAUUUUGGCGGUAAAGCCUCAAGGUUUUGUAUGGAAAUUAUGAUCAUGAUGACAACGAGUCGCUGAUUCAGAGUGCAAUACGCUUAAGGGCAUUUAAAGAGUUUGGGAUGGGCUGACAUUUUCAAUUUUCAAUGUAUCGCAGGUAAUGUGGGAUUCCCGUCGAUUAAUUCACUUCAUUUACACACAAAAAAAGUAUUAAAACGUGUUUUGAUGCAUCUCAACGAUGAAGGCACACGCACGAGAAAGGCUGCAGAUCCUCCUGUCGAUGUGGCCAUGAACAGAUCGUGCUGAUGCAUCAACAGACCUCUCAUCCAGGUAUCAUUUUUCAUACCUGAAUCCCAGGAGCUAAUUGCAGAGGAAAAAAAUUGGUCACCCAGAAAGGAGAAGAGCAUGUCAAAUUGGAAUGCUCUUUUAGAAUGCACAGAUGAUGGGAUGAAUAACUCGCUACUCUGCUCUCAUUUAAUGGCAACAUUGCAGCUUUCUAGGUCGGUCCCACAACCUGACCUUGAGUAAUACAUUGUACAGACACUGAAGCUUAAUAUGAUUUCAACUGCUACACAACACUGAGUCAUCUGGAAUGUUACUUAACGUCUGGUCUCAUCUCCAGAGAUAUUCUGUUCAAGCAGGAACUGCAGAUGCUGGAAGAUCGAAGGACCAUAUGCAAGUGACAUAAACAUUAGUGGUAUGGUGGAUAGAGAAAAAGGUUGUCUCCGGUUACAACAGAAUAUGGAUCAAUUGGAAAAUCGGCAGCCUUGUGAUAGCCAAUAUCAGAUCAUCAUUGGAGCAUGAACACCCAUCUUGGGCAGACGGCACAUACGGCAGAAGCCAAUGACUCUCAAGGAAGUAGAAAAGAAAAUAAUCCUAAAAGAGACUCUGGAUGCGAGUUGGAAAAUUUGUCCAGAUGACCAUUUUUUGCAUAACAAAUGAAAAAUAAAUAAAUAAAACAGAAAACUGCACAUGCUGUAAAUCUCCUGAUUCAGGAUCUGGACUCUCAACAGCAACUGUCCCUUUGCCCCCACGGAUGCUGCUUGACCUGCUGAGUUCUCCCAGCAGCUGCAGUUUCUUGUGCCUAUCAAUUUCAGUGUGACCUUGCUGGUCAAUGACGGGGAAUGUUGCCGACUGGACUGCUCCGGACUGCAGGAAUACAUGCUGAUGGACGCACUGAAGCUUGGUGCAGCCAACACCAAGGCUCUGCGGGGGACGGCCACUGUUCAGGGUCCUUUUGCAGCUGGACAUUGGGGGGCAGGGUGUUAUGAGACACCCCUCAAAUGAAAGAAAGAAUGUCACCCCAGGGGGCCACAGGAGUGGAAAGAGUGCCAGGUGAAAUAUUUGUGAACACUACAAUACGACGCAAAUGAAUGUAUUAAUAACCUCCGAGAAUGUCGGGAGAAUUUUUGCACAGUUCUUGUUUUGUAGGUAUUUUUUAUUCCGAAUAAAGUUUUAUUUUAAUUUAUGUUUGUUAAUCUCCAUGGUCAACGGGCAUUGAUAUCAAUUAUCUCAAGGACUGGAUGAGUCUCCCAUUGCUCUCCUUUCUAAAUUCCUCUAAUUUUAAACAAUUCCAGUUGUACUGGAAACAACACCUACCUCAAUCCAUUGAUUCAUGAUUACUGCAAACCUGAACAGCCUCAUGGAGUAGAGUGUAUUGCAGGUUACAGCUCUAUAUUUAGAAGAAAAACACAAGGAGAAUGAAACCUCAAAUGUUUCACAAUGAUCUUGGGCUGUGUUUGCAUUGGGCUGUUGAAGGAAUAUUCAAAUACUUUUCCCUCUUCAGACCAAGGCACUAAGUCCUUUAAAUGUGAAUGAGUUAGAGAGUUUAAUAGACUGUCUGUGAGAGCAGGAAACAAAGGAAUAAAGAGAAAGAGGACACAUAUCUAGUCAAAUGAUUUAGUAGAUCACAGCUGGAGUGCAAACAAAAGAAACCAGCAGGAGUGGCACAGGAAACAAUGACGUGAAUGACAUUUUACAUUCCAGACCAAACUAAUUAUCUGGUUCUUACUAACUGAAAAUCUAUGCUCUGUGGAAAGUAGAGGGAUGGAAAUCAAAGCAAGAGACUUCACAGUUUAUUUUGAUUCUGGUGCAUCCAAUCACAUUCCUUUUUACAGUUCUUUCAGCCCACAGUGAUGCCAAGACCAACUAAUCUGAC